UUUCCUUUUAUUGAACCUCACCAUUUCUGGCAUCUCAACUUUCCCUACACUGUACUUCCAAUUGAGCCUGUCUUCUUUAGCCAGCAAGAGAACUAUCGGAAUCACUCUCAGCUGCUCAAGCCAGCAUCACUAGUUCCAGAAUCGUUGGUAACCAGUGGCCUCUGGGAGAAGGUAGCCGUGUCCUCAGGCCAGACAUGAAGAGCCUAAUCAGACAAGAAAGAAGAGGAUGCUGAGGGAGGCCUGGAGGAAGUUCAGCCUAGAGUUAACAUCUGCCACCAAUCCUCUUUUUGCUGAAGAAGACUGGCCCUGAGCUAACAUGCAUGACCAUCUUCCUCUACUUUAUAUGUGAGAUGUGCCACAGCAUAGCUUGACAAGUGGUGUGUAGGUCUGCACCCAGGAUCCGAAUUGGCGAAUGCUGGGCUGCUGCAGCGGACCACGCGAACUUAACCACUGUGCCACCAGGCCAGCCUUGUCAUUUAUUUUUUCAUUGUUUUUUCAAUAUUUUAUUAUGAGAAUUUGUAAACAUACAGCGAAGUUGAAGUUUUAUGUUUUUAUGAUAAUAUUUUACAUACAUCCCCAGCAUAGAUUCUACAAUUGAUCUUUUACUGCAUUUACUUUAUCACAGACCUGUCUAUUCAUUCAGCCAUUUGUCACAUCAAUCCAUCUUUUAGGUGUGUGUAUUUCUGCCAGAUAUUUUAGAUUCUGACAAUUUUGCCCCAUAGCAUAAGAGGAAAUAAAACCAGAUUUGCUGCAAAGAAACAAAGAAAGAGAAUCAUGCUGGAUUUUAAAAUUCAAGUCUUAUAGAUGUGUGGGGAAGGGGCACAUUUAAGAAAAUAAUGGAGGGUAAAAAAAUUAGCUAGCAACUUAGGAACUAGAGGAAGUCCUUUGACAUUAUGAAGUGUGUCAAAAAGAUCACUGCAUUCCCAAAGAUUGCCAAACAAUUGCACGGAAAGAAGCUAAAGGUAAAGGAACUAUGGCCCAAGGAAUGCACGAUUUCAGGGAUCUGAAGAGAAUGGAAGAGCGUCUGCCAGUUUUGGAUGCCAGGAGCAUGUCUCCAAAAGGAUAGUAUCAGAAGAACCUGGAACUGUGUGCCCAUUUCCAGGAACGUCUCCCAAGCACAGAACAGGGAAUGCUGCGAUACCACAUUUUAAUCGUCUAUUCCCCUAAUGCAAAGAAUGAGGCAACAAAUGUCCCUUAACAUUUCUCUUUGUCUGUGAGUGUGAGCUUCUCCAAGAGAGUGGUCUUUGUGCUAGUUCUCUAGGGCUCCUGUAAGAAAGUACCACAGGCCGGAUGGCUGAAACAACUCGAAUUUAUUUCUCCCAGUUCUGGAGGCUAGAAUUUUGAGAUCAAGGUGUUGGCAGGGAUGGUUCCUUCUGAGGAUUGUGAGGGAGAGUCUGUUCCAGGCUUCCCUUGGCUUGUAGAUAGCUGUCUUCUCAUUGUGUCUCUACAUUGUCUUUCCUCUGUCUCUGUGUCCAAAUUUCCCUUUUUAUAAGAACACCAAAUGUAUUGGAUUAGGGCCCACCCUAAUGACCUUAUUUUAACUUGAUUACAUCCGGAAAGGGCCUAUCUCCAAAUUCAGUCACAUUCUGAGGUACUGGGGUUGAGACUUCAAUGCGUGAAUGUUGGAGCAGACAAAAUACAACCCGUAGUCUUCAAAUUUAUUUCUUGCAUAACCCGAAAAAGAAUUUGGAAAAACUGUGUACCCUUCACACAGUUUAAUAUUGACACUUAACAAUUUAAAUCAUAGAUUUAAACAGUUCCAAAGGAUAAAAUUUUUGUCGUGUAAAUAUUGAUGUCAAAAUUUGGCGUCAAAAUAAAACGGUUACUCUUUUAAGGGUGUCCAAAGGAAUCUAAAUACCAUAACAAUUUGAUUCAAUAAUUAUAAUCUAUUUAAAAAUGCCUGCGUAAUUUCCAAUGGAAAUUUUAUAUCUUUCCUUUUUUUGCUUUCCAUUCCAAUUCUCCCACAGAAUUUUACCUUCAUGUAACAUAUUUUAAUACCAGAAAGUCUCUUUUUUGACCACCCCAUUAUGCUUCUCUUUGACAAAACUGUGCAUGGAAAUUGAAAUUUUGAAAUAUGUUUUAUUUCUUGGGAUCAUAAGGUUGUAAGUGUUAUUUAAACUUCCUUCUAGGUUGAGUUGUUGCCAUUGUUAUUGUUAAAUGAUGAUCAAGACAAUGAAACUACUUUAUAAAAUUAUUAUUUUGUAAUUUAUUAAACAGAAAAAAUAAGAUUUUAUUGAAAAUGUUUCUCUUGCAAUGAUACAAAUGAUGUCCCUCCCUCCAAUUAGCUCACGUAUCCAUUGACGAAUGACUUAAUGUUAGAACCGUGCAGAUUCUGUGUGAAGUUUAUCCCUGCCCUCACCCCUUUAUAGAAGUAACUGCUGAGAAAACUUAUUCAUAGUAAUAAAUAAAUGGGAAUGAAAGGUGUUUAUUAUAGCAAUUUCAUCCAAUUCUUUGAGUUCUACCCAAAUUCUAUGCCAAAUAUCACCUGGAAAUUUAUUAUAAAAAUUAUUUUUAGUACUCUCUCUGCUAAAAAUUCUAUUAAAUUCUUCUUUUAGUGAAAGUUGAAAACCACCCAACACACAAAAGACCUGUUACCCAGUUAUGAGAGUGACUCAGAGCCUCAAGUUCUGGGAGGCACACCUGACUUACCAAACAGCUCUUAGUUCCCUGUGUUGCUCUUUCACUAAAGCACCUUGUUUAGAACAGGUUGGUGUCUUAGCUUGGGUUCCUCCCAAAACAAACUCUAAGAUGAGGUCUUGAGUUCAAGAAAUUUAUCUGAGAGUUGAUCCCAGAAAGAACAUCCUAAUGGGGACCUUCUGAGUAUCCCGUAGAAUGCACCUCAGAACUGUCGCACUAAAGAACAAGGACGUUGGGAAUUUAUGCACUUUCAGUCCCUGCCCUUGUACCUGGCUGAAUACCAGAGACAGCCCUCCUUGGGCAGAGAAGCAGAAAGACUUGGGCCCUUACCACUAGAAGGUGCAGUGAACUCAGAGGUGGGCCCUUAGGAUAUACAGCGGGACAUCAAAAAUAUCUGUAGUAGGUGAAAUAUAGAAACAUUGUUAAUUUACUGAUAAAAAUAUUUAUCUUAUCAUAUUUUAAAAUAUAUUUUCAUCAAAACCUGAAGCUGCAGAUGUAUUUCAUUUAAUUCAUAAAAAGUCUCCUCCCUAUAUUGACAAAAUGAAUAUACUUUGUUAAAUCUAUCAGUUUAACAUCAUUUUUAAUUCAAAUAAAU
rnacentral:lncRNA from 1 species